ACCGCCCCCACCUGCCCGCCGCCGCCCGAGCGUGCUGAAGUAGUUUUUCCCUUCCCGGAAGGAAAAAAGGUUCAGAACUUUGUUGGAGUAAGAGAUGUGAAGAGACUCAAGUACAGCAGAGCAAGCAACCUGGAUGUCUUGCACUCUCAGCCCGCCUUUCAGAGUCCAGCCUGCCACGUGUGUUUAUGAACGGUGAGGGUGCGACGACCAGUCCUCAAGUCACAGCGUGGAGUGGCGCCAAAGCCUCCAUCUGGGAGCCAGGAGCCAGGCCCUGAAUUCAGGAUCUGCGACAUGCCAGCCAGAUCUGCUUCUGGGGAACCUGGUCGAAGACACAGCUGGCUGUGCAUUUCGGAGAGCAAAUCUGAAUCUCCAGAGGGCUUGUGAAAAAGGCCGGUUUCAGGGUCUAGUCCCAGAGACUGUGGCUCAGUAGGGUGGGGCCCAAGAAUCUGCAAUUUAGCGAGCUCUCUGGGAGAUCCUGUUGUUUGUGGCCCUUGGGCCUCCUUUGGAGAACCACCACGGCAGCCUUUCUGGAAGCACUAGUGACUCCAGUAACGGGCUGAUGGCUAGCUUGGCUUCUGCAGCCCCACCCUGUGCUGACAUCCGCGGAUCCCACAACUCCAAAUGGCUUGGCUUCAACCAGGAACAAAUUGCUGCUGCCUACGGUCCAACUGGCGUUCCCCCGGUGUCAGGCUGAUCCUGCGGCCGGGGUCACUUACGCUCGGCUCCAGGCCGGGGCGGGGGUGGGGUGGAAGGAGGUUCAGAGACCUAUGCUGGUGAACCUUGGAGAACCAUGAGACCUCUCCUUGGCUCCCGUUCUUCUGUUCUUUCUGGCAUUUGCCCGAGGUGCCCAGUUUUCAUUUCCUGGUUACACACACACACACACACACUCUCUCUCUCUCUCUCUCUCUCUCUCUCUAGCUCAGAUCUCAGAGGCACGGGGUGGGACAGAACUCUGAAACAGCCAUUUCUGGCAGUAAAUCUAGUAGCCACACACUCAAGCAUUAUGGUCACACCUCCUAGGUUGACUCUGGGCUCCAUCGCUUAUAGCUGUGUGACCGUGGGCAAGUUGUUUCACCU